GUGGGUAUAGCUCGGGGUAGAGCGCAUGCUUAGCAAGCAUGAGGUCCUGGGUCCAGUCCCCAUUACCUCCA
rnacentral:tRNA from 1 species